GGGAAAUGAGCCACUGCUGAGCCACUAUCCCAUCCUGGGGUGUUUGGGGAGAGCCCCAGGGCUGGUGCAACACCAGUGCUGGGACAAAGGGAGCUCCAGGCUCAGCUUUGGGACUGCUGCACUCACACAACAGCUCCAGCUCUUGUUCCUGCUGAUCCUGCAGUUUGGGUUGAGAAGGAAGGAGAGGAGUAAACUGCUUCCCUUGAGAACUGCGGAAUUUGGUGCCUGAAAUUACAGAAUCACAGAAUGUGCUGAGUUGGAAGGGACCCACAGGGAUCACAGAGUCCAACUGCACAGAACCAUCACCAAGAGUCAUAUCCUGUGCCCAAGAGUGAUGAGCACCUUGUGGCCUUUGGGUGCUUUAACUCCUCUGGUAAGA
rnacentral:lncRNA from 12 species